rnacentral:rRNA from 1 species
AACACAUGCAAGUCGAGCGGUAGAGAGAACUUGCUUCUCUUGAGAGCGGCGGACGGGUGAGUAAUGCCUAGGAAUCUGCCUAGUGGUGGGGGAUAACGUUCGGAAACGGACGCUAAUACCGCAUACGUCCUACGGGAGAAAGCGGGGGACCUUCGGGCCUCGCGCCAUUAGAUGAGCCUAGGUCGGAUUAGCUAGUUGGUGAGGUAAUGGCUCACCAAGGCGACGAUCCGUAACUGGUCUGAGAGGAUGAUCAGUCACACUGGAACUGAGACACGGUCCAGACUCCUACGGGAGGCAGCAGUGGGGAAUAUUGGACAAUGGGCGAAAGCCUGAUCCAGCCAUGCCGCGUGUGUGAAGAAGGUCUUCGGAUUGUAAAGCACUUUAAGUUGGGAGGAAGGGUAGUAACUUAAUACGUUGCUACUUUGACGUUACCGACAGAAUAAGCACCGGCUAACUUCGUGCCAGCAGCCGCGGUAAUACGAAGGGUGCAAGCGUUAAUCGGAAUUACUGGGCGUAAAGCGCGCGUAGGUGGUUCAGUAAGUUGGAAGUGAAAUCCCCGGGCUCAACCUGGGAACUGCUUUCAAAACUGCUGAGCUAGAGUACGGUAGAGGG